GUUGUGGUGGCCCGAGUGGUUAAGAGCGAUGGACUAGAAAUCAUUGGGAUCUUCGCGCAGGUUCAAAUCCUGCGACAACG